AUCCAGCUGACGAGUUGUGAAUAGGACAAAACGCGCGCCCUGGAU
rnacentral:hammerhead_ribozyme from 1 species